rnacentral:rRNA from 1 species
GAUGAACGCUGGCGGCGUGCCUAAUACAUGCAAGUCGAGCGAACAGACGAGGAGCUUGCUCCUCUGACGUUAGCGGCGGACGGGUGAGUAACACGUGGAUAACCUACCUAUAAGACUGGGAUAACUUCGGGAAACCGGAGCUAAUACCGGAUAAUAUAUUGAACCGCAUGGUUCAAUAGUGAAAGACGGUUUUGCUGUCACUUAUAGAUGGAUCCGCGCCGCAUUAGCUAGUUGGUAAGGUAACGGCUUACCAAGGCAACGAUGCGUAGCCGACCUGAGAGGGUGAUCCGCCACCCUGGAACUGAGACACGGUCCAGACUCCUACGGGAGGCCGCAGUAGGGAAUCUUCCGGAAUGGGGCAAAGGUUGACGGAGCAACGCCGCGGGAGUGAUGAAGGUCUUCGGAUCGUAAAACUCUGUUAUUAGGGAAGAACAAAUGUGUAAGUAACUAUGCACGUCUUGACGGUACCUAAUCAGAAAGCCACGGCUAACUACGUG